CAAAGUAACAAACGCGAAUCAGCUCAACAUGAUGAACAUGACUAGACAGAAAUUCCCAUGUGGCCUCAGGAGCGCUUGGUUCAUAUAAGUGUACUUUCAGUCACGUCCUUUGCUAUAAAAAAGGAUUGGGCUAUAUUGAUGUACACUUGAUACUAUUGUUACUUUUCACUUGAUAUGAAUUAUCUUGCUACAAAACUAUCUAUCAGUGUUACUCACACCACUUGCAUAGAAUAGCUUGCUGAAAACUGCUUAUCAUUUCCUCUGCUCCUCAUUGAGUUCGACAUUCUACUUGUGGGUCAUCAAGACUCUUUUCUGGCGCCGUUGUUGGUGAGAAAAAUGCCUUUGGUAAGUGGAAUUUGAUAUGGAAACAUUUUGCAUACAUACUGAAAUUUACUGUUGCUUAUUACUAUGGAUAAUCAUCCUUUGAGUGCUUUGUUCGGAGUAUCUUCGCCUCGAACGGAAGUAUAAAAAGACACUCAACAACCUACUGAACUUCCUGAGAAUAUUUCUUGUGAAAUUCCUUUGGGUAUGUUAGAGAAACUGCUAGCUAAUCCUUAUGAUGCAGGAGAUGAUACAACUCAUCUUGAUUACCACGUGAUAUAUGUAUAUGAGAUUUCUGGAUUAUGUAAGCUCGGAGGUUUAUCCGAGGACAAAGUCAAGAAGAAGGUUUUCCCUUUAUCUUUGGAGAUUCGUACAUGAAGAGAACUAUUGAAUUCAAAAGGGAUCUUUGGGAAAUUAUUAAACACAACUCUAAAGAUUGGGAACUCGACGAAGGCACUAAACACCACUUCAGAGAAGAAAGGAUGCUGAAAAUCUUUCCUGGCUAUGACCGAAGUGUCCCACAUGGAGGUACCCUGCCAGGUAAUCUGAAGAUAGUUCCAAACUCUGGUGCUGAAUAGGCAGUUGAAGAAGAGAUGAUCCCUAUCCUCUUUGACCCUUGAAUGACAUAGAACACAUAGGUUUGAAUUAGAAACUUUCCAGUGGCGUCUCUCAAGCAUAUCCUGGGUGUUCAGCCUGUCCAUAAUGAGCAUCCAGGUAAACAUUUUGAUCUUCAUGGCGCAACAACUCUUCCAAAUCCAACUUAGGAGAGGGUUGGGUAUAAUGGGCUGAUGGACAUGAAUGUAGUAUUUCUGAGCAGAGUAAACCUUACUGUCACUACUCCAAAGCCAGACAUCUUUGCUUAACUGUUCUCUAUUAAGGUUUUGGAGCAAGCAGGUAACCAUUUCCAACUCCUGGAAGGCCCUGUCAGAAAGUGGCAAGUGAAACAUGUUGGUCAUGUUGUUUGUCUCAAAAGCUUGGAAAGCCUCCUCGGCAAUG